rnacentral:rRNA from 1 species
AGUGAACGCUGGCGGUAGGCCUAACACAUGCAAGUCGAACGGCAGCACAGUAGGAGCUUGCUCUUACGGGUGGCGAGUGGCGGACGGGUGAGGAAUACAUCGGAAUCUACUUUUUCGUGGGGGAUAACGUAGGGAAACUUACGCUAAUACCGAAUACGACCUACGGGUGAAAGCAGGGGAUCUUCGGACCUUGCGCGAUUGAAUGAGCCGAUGUCGGAUUAGCUAGUUGGCGGGGUAAAGGCCCACCAAGGCGACGAUCCGUAGCUGGUCUGAGAGGAUGAUCAGCCACACUGGAACUGAGACACGGUCCAGACUCCUACGGGAGGCAGCAGUGGGGAAUAUUGGACAAUGGGCGCAAGCCUGAUCCAGCCAUACCGCGUGGGUGAAGAAGGCCUUCGGGUUGUAAAGCCCUUUUGUUGGGAAAGAAAAGCAGCAGGUUAAUACCCCGCUGUUCUGACGGUACCCAAAGAAUAAGCACCGGCUAACUUCGUG